UUUCACAAGGUGGUAAAAGAUACACCCAGGUACCAAGUGCUGCUGGAUGGACUGGUCCUCCAGGGUUUAUACCAAUUGUCAGAGCCCCAAAUGACUGUUCAUUGCAGGAAAUAAGAUUUCCCUCCGGUAAAAACUAUGGUGCAAAGGCAGUCUCUAUGUACAAAAUCCCCACCACAGACAAUUGUUGAUGUCCCAAUUGCCCAGGAGUCCUACCUGCCUGAGGACAUAGUUGGUGGAGUUGAGAUCCACAAUGGGGAUUGUAAAAUAAAGGUUUCCAACACCCUGAAAAGCCGACUGGAUCUCAGGCCAGCAGAUGAUGCCAGAAGUCCGGGGAGCCUUGUUUGGUCCAAAUGCCAAC
rnacentral:lncRNA from 1 species